rnacentral:rRNA from 1 species
GUCCACGCCCUAAACGAUGUCAACUGGUUGUUGGGAGGGUUUCUUCUCAGUAACGAAGCUAACGCGUGAAGUUGACCGCCUGGGGAGUACGGCCGCAAGGUUGAAACUCAAAGGAAUUGACGGGACCCGCACAAGCGGUGGAUGAUGUGGUUUAAUUCGAUGCAACGCGAAAACCUUACCUACCCUUGACAUGUCUGAAAUCCUGCAGAGAUGUGGGAGUGCUCGAAAGAGAGCCAGAACACAGGUGCUGCAUGGCCGUCGU